rnacentral:rRNA from 1 species
CGUGAGUGUCGGGUUAAGUCCCGUAACGAGCGCAACCCUUGUCCUUAGUUACCAGCACGUUAUGGUGGGCACUCUAAGGAGACUGCCGGUGACAAACCGGAGGAAGGUGGGGAUGACGUCAAGUCAUCAUGGCCCUUAUGUCCAGGGCGACACACGUGCUACAAUGGCCGGCACAACGGGAAGCGAGUUCGCGAGGACGAGCGGAUCCCUCAAAGCCGGUCGCAGUUCGGAUUGAAGUCUGCAACUCGACUUCAUGAAGCUGGAAUCGCUAGUAAUCGUGGAUCAGCCAAGCCGCGGUGAAUACGUUCCCGGGCCUU